UGGCCUUUCCUGAACCUCCUUUCAUGUUCUCUGCCCCAUCUACACACCACAUUUUCGCCCUCAGUGAAUUCAGACACUUUCAGUUUAGAGGAUAAUGCCCUCUGAACAACCUCAGGCCAAAAGGGCAGAGACAGAGAAGCCUCUGGAGGUUCGGAAGGACAGAUUCAUCAGACGGCAGAGCCGGAAGCGAUUUUACACCCCUUCUGCAGGAGUGAGAGGAGUAGCUGUUUGACCCCCGCUGCCUCAGCUGAGGCCAAAAGGCACGGCUGAUUUCCACUUAAGGAUGUCAAAGAGG
rnacentral:lncRNA from 1 species